rnacentral:pre_miRNA from 1 species
AGCUUUCUGAAUCCAUGCCGAGAUUUUGUCAGACAGUAACCUAAAAGAGCUGAUGAGACUUCCUAAAUGAGUAAAGUG